UUACGAUCAUAUUACGUUGAAACACUGAUUCUCGUACGAUCACUGAAGUUAAACAACAUCAAGCCUGUCUAGUACCUCGAGGAGUGACUACUUGGGAAUAUCAGAUGUUGUAAG